UGGGAAGUCUUGCGCAAUGGCCUAACGGCUGACGCAGCGACGCCGCGUGUGGGAUGAAGCUCUUCGGAGUGUAAACCACUGUUGCCCGGAGCGAACAGCUCGAUUAGUCGAGCCUGACGGUACCGGGUGAGGAAGCACCGGCUAACUCCGUGCCAGCAGCCGCGGUAAUACGGGGGGGUGCGAGCGUUGUCCGGAAUCACUGGGCGUAAAGGGCGCGUAGGUGGUUUGAUAAGGGUGUGGUGAAAGUCCGGGGCUCAA
rnacentral:rRNA from 1 species